UUGCAGGGAAGACUUGACAUUGUCAUGCAUAGAGCCAGAGCUGCAGUCUGUAGAGAGCAGGGAAGACUUGACAUUGUCAUGCAUAGAGCCAGAGCUGCAGUCUGUAGAGAGCAGGGAAGACUUGUCAAUAUCAGGCAUAGAGCCAGAGCUGCAGUCUGUAGAGAGCAGG